GACGAACGCUGGCGGCGUGCUUAACACAUGCAAGUCGAACGGAAAGGCCCUGCUUGCAGGGUACUCGAGUGGCGAACGGGUGAGUAACACGUGGGUGAUCUGCCCUGCACUUCGGGAUAAGCCUGGGAAACUGGGUCUAAUACCGGAUAGGAGCCAUUUUUAGUGUGAUGGUUGGAAAGUUUUUUCGGUGUAGGAUGAGCUCGCGGCCUAUCAGCUUGUUGGUGGGUAAUGGCCUACCAAGGCGGCGACGGGUAGCCGGCCUGAGAGGGUGGACGGCCACAUUGGGACUGAGAUACGGCCCAGACUCCUACGGGAGGCAGCAGUGGGGAAUAUUGCACAAUGGGCGCAAGCCUGAUGCAGCGACGCCGCGUGGGGGAUGACGGCC
rnacentral:rRNA from 1 species